rnacentral:rRNA from 1 species
GACGAACGCUGGCGGCGUGCCUAAUACAUGCAAGUAGAACGCUGAAGGAGUAGCUUGCUUCUCUGGAUGAGUUGCGAACGGGUGAGUAACGCGUAGGUAACCUGCCUGGUAGCGGGGGAUAACUAUUGGAAACGAUAGCUAAUACCGCAUAAUAGCAGUUGUUGCAUGACAACUGUUUGAAAGGUGCAAUUGCACCACUACCAGAUGGACCUUCGUUGUAUUAGCUAGUUGGUGGGGUAACGGCUCACCAAGGCGACGAUCCAUAACCGACCUGAGAGGGGGAUCGGCCACACUGGGACUGAGACACGGCCCAGACUCCUACGGGAGGCAGCAGUAGGGAAUCUUCGGCAAUGGACGGAAGUCUGACCGAGCAACGCCGCGUGAGUGAAGAAGGUUUUCGGAUCGUAAAGCUCUGUUGUAAGAGAAGAACGAGGGUGAGAGUGGAAAGUUCACACUGUGACGGUAUCUUACCAGAAAGGGACGGCUAACUACGUG